GUGCUCGCUUUGGCAGCACAUAUACUGAAAUUGAAAUGAUACAGAGAAGAAUAAAAUGGCCCUUGUGCAAGGAUAACACACAAACUUGUAAAGCUUUCCAUAUUUUA